rnacentral:rRNA from 1 species
AGGGAGGAUGAUACGAUAACUUAGAGUGUGGUAGGGGAGAUCGGAAUUCCUGGUGUAGCGGUGAAAUGCGCAGAUAUCAGGAGGAACACCGGUGGCGAAGGCGGAUCUCUGGGCCAUUACUGACGCUGAGGAGCGAAAGCGUGGGGAGCGAACAGGAUUAGAUACCCUGGUAGUCCACGCCGUAAACGGUGGGAACUAGGUGUUGGCGACAU